CAGAGUUUCCUUAGCGCUCUGUUUCCCUAUAUCAUUUUGGGAUUCUGGAAAGUAAGAUUUUGUCUUUGCUUCUGGAGUGACUUCUGUGUGGCUCCCAUUUGCUUCAAAUUUUCCAGGUUCUCCUUUGAGAUAUGAGGUAAUGGAAUCUCGACACUGAUCAGGGCUGCAAAAGAGAAGAUGUGGAAAUUUACAAUGCCAAUACAUGGCUGAAAGUGGGCUUCAGAAGCUCUAAAGUUUUCACUACCAUGUUGUAAACUACUCUUGAAGGCAUAAAAUAGAAAGACAUGAAAAAUAUGGUCACUGGAUUUCAAACUGUGAGGGUCUCUCAUGGGUUUGGGUUUUGGGGUGAUGAGGUGCUACACAGGGCCCCAGCUCUGCCCCGCCCAACCUGCCUAGCUAUGCUGUCCUUGUUUUUGUUUUAUUUUGUUUAAUUGCACUGCGAUAGCUACUUGGAUUUGAGAUCUCAGGAAGUCACCCUGGGAGGUUCAUGGGCAUACCUGGAGUUCCAGAACUGCCAAUCUAAGGAGGAGGAGAUCUCCAAAGGCUUUAAUAUUGCCAGUGAAAAAACUGCUGGCAGAGAACAAAAUGCAUUCCUUGAGAGCCCUGACAUCCCCAAGAACCCCAUGUUCCAGUCUCUGGUUUUCCAAUUGUGGGUCUUGCCAGCGUGCCUUUGCAAACCACGAUAGCCUUGCUUGGGUCUCAUCUUUCUUGGCUCCUGACCUGUGCUGACCCCCACUGGUGAGCAGGGUGUUGUUGCUUACCUGUUGCUUCUAGGUCCUGUGAGGACUAUUUUCCUUUUAACGAACUAUUACAAAUCUUUCUCUUCCAACACUUUCUUUUAAAGUGACUUCUAAUUUUUACUGGUAUCAGUAUGGGUUUUAUUUUCUAGCUUGUGCAUUGUUUUUAGGGUCUUUGCUUAUUAUCUACAGAAUUUGGAAGGCACUGAUUAGCGCAAUGCAAUGUUCUUUAUGUAUUGUAUAUGUCUGUGAGUACGUGUGAAUUCUUAUAAAUCAAAUUGUGAUUAUAUAAAAAAAACACCUAUCCAUAGCACACCCUAUUCCAUAUGUAUAAGUACAAACAGUCCCAGCACACUGCAAAGAUGCUGUAACGUAAUUAUAUCUAUUUCCUGUUAUGUAACUAUAAAUUAAUGUGUCUAUAUUAGAACACAGACAUCAAAACUAGUACUAUUUGUUGUCUUUGGUAGGGUGAGCACAGAACUCUUUGGUCUUAUUCUUCAAAAAGAACUCUGUAAACUCCUUUUUUGCAAAAUGUUACAAGCUCCCUCUUUGGGAAUUUUCAUUGAGCAAGAAGCUUUACCAGUCAUAUGAAAAUAUUAAACAUGGUUAUGAAAUAAAUUUAAAUUGGAUGCAAAAACACCUGAGGUUAUCACUAGUUGCCACUGAGGUAAGUUAUAUUUUAGCCUGAUGUAUGCAUAAAUAAAAAUAAUGCCAUCUAUUACUGACAGACUAUUUGUAGCAGCCAUUUGGUAGCCAUUCUAUAGGCUUCCUUCUUCAAUCUGUAAACCUGUGUGAUGAAGGUAGUAGUAUUCUUAUUUUUAAAGUCAGUUAAAGUGACGUUCUUACAGCUUAGAAAUUCAUCCAGAGUCACAAAAUGCAAACCUAAUGCCAGUGGGAUUUGAACCAAUGUCUGAAGGACACUAGACUCUUACCUUUCUAGAGGAAGUUCAGUAUCAAAAAGAACCAGAUUCAUGAUUAGGGAAUUAUUUUGUUGUAAUCAAAUUUCUAUCAUGGCAAUAUUAUUUGGAGUGAAGAAUUACAUAUGACUUUUAAAGUCUGAAGUCAGGAAAUCAUAGAAAGGUUUGUAUUUCUAAAAGACGUGGAGUUUUAUUUACCCCAUUAUUUUGAAAGCAUAUUAAUUACUAGCUUUGUGAAAAAAAUCAGACAAGUCACAAACUAGAAAAGAGUAGUCUUCUAAAGUAAACACAGACAUCUUUGGCAUGCAUGUAAAACUUUUUACAUUUUGCUUCAGGCUAUCAGUAGUUUUAAGAAUUAAAUUGAGUUUCGUGUGAGUUUCCUUCUCCAGAUUAGCAGAAUGAACCAACCUUUAAAGCAGGUAUUAUCCCCAAACUGGAAUGGUAAUUUAGAAAAAGAGUAAGUGCUAAAAAGUAGGUUUUAAAACAAACUAUUAACAUGUAAUCUGUAUUUCGCUUUCCUUUUUUCUGAAAUGGAGCCAUACCUGUCAUCCAGUCUUUCUAGUAACCCACCGGUUAGUCUUCGAGCUUGAGCAGGGGAUUCUAGGUUUCCACCUGAUGUCUCGUUCUGCCAACCUGCAAUUGAAGACAUUUCCAGUUCUGCUUGCUGAACACGUUUAAGAAUAGCCUGUACUUUUUCUUCUGUCAUCUCCUCAGACUCUACGCCUUCUUCAAGUUGAAUGUCCUCAAAUAGAGAUUUGAGUUUUUCUUCCGUCAUCUCCUCAUCAGGACCAGAUUUUCCUUUCUCUUGCUGCUCAGAGCUUACUCUUACUUUACUAGUUUGUUUCAGUGGCUCUGCUGGUUUAACAUCUUUUGGGACCCCAGCCAUACUUCCGAGGUAUUGAGGAUACUCACUCAGACAUACAUUCUCCAACUGGCUCUCAUCUACAUCCACUGUGCCAGGCAUUUCUGUUAAAGGCAUUGAGUCUUCGAGUUUGCUGUCUUCUAAGGAAGUGUCUUCUGCAGUUACGACUGGAGGUCCUCCAUCUGCUGAAUGCUCUACGUUCCCCUGGGAAGGCACUAGCCCAUCACUCAGUCUACUGGGGGUUCUAAGGGGAGACUCUAUGCUAGAGAUAUCACUAAAAUAAUCAUCUUGCUGGAAAGGGGUGGGUGGUGUGUAGUGCAACCCUGUGGGAGUUUCCAGUUCCACUUGAAGGGAAGGAUAACCUAUGGAAGACAGUACAUUUGGACUGACUGGAAUGAAUUAGAGUACAUCAAACAAAACACAUGGAAUGAAUUAAAUUAUAUCAGGUAUGAAAAUGUAUGAUGAGUUACAGAACAAUGUUCAUAAAUUUAUUGGUUUAGUUCAACUAAAUGUAACACAAUGAAAUAAAAGACUAGUGCAAACUAUAAUAAAACAGAACACUAAUUAAUUAAGAUAUAAAUGGUUUCUAUCAACUUUGAUAAUUUUAAUACAGUAACUUAAAUGUACAGACUAAUUCAAUCUAAUAAAAAGUUAGCUGUCGUUAUAUAAAAUACAUUUAUUCCACGGUCAAAUUUAUUAGCUUUCUACUUUCAGCAUGCAAAAUCCAUAUGGUGGUGGACUGCAUACAGCAAACCACAAUUGUUAUAAUUAAUUACUUAUAACUCAUUUGAAGAGCUUUACAUAGGAGCAAUGCUACCCGACUCUCAUUCUUUUUUUUUUUUUUCACAUGAAAUUUACAGCGAAGAAAAAUAAAUUUAAUCUUUGGAAAGAAAUUAUUAUUAGACUUUAGAGCAAUAGCACUGGGGAAAAAAAGUCUAAAAAGAUGUUAAGAAAAGGAUUUGAGAAGCAGAUAAAGUAGAAAAGACUCCAAGGAAAGCUUUCAGGUGUCAUAAUGUGACAGAGAUGAAAGACUUGUGGUGCACAUGGAGGU
rnacentral:lncRNA from 1 species